rnacentral:rRNA from 1 species
UACGUAGGGUGCGAGCGUUGUCCGGAAUUAUUGGGCGUAAAGAGCUUGUAGGUGGCUCGUUGCGUCGGGAGUGAAAACCUGCGGCUUAACCGCAGGCCUGCUUCCGAUACGGGCGAGCUAGAGUUCGGCAGGGGAGACUGGAAUUCCUGGUGUAGCGGUGGAAUGCGCAGAUAUCAGGAGGAACACCGGUGGCGAAGGCGGGUCUCUGGGCCGAUACUGACACUGAGACGCGAAAGCGUGGGGAGCGAACAGG